rnacentral:rRNA from 1 species
ACGUCAAAUCAUCAUGCCCCUUAUGUCUUGGGCUACACACGUGCUACAAUGGCUGCAACAGCGUGGAACGAAGCGGCGACGCGGAGUGAAACACCAAAAGCAGCCCCAGUUCGGAUUGCAGGCUGCAACCCGCCUGCAUGAAGUUGGAAUCGCUAGUAAUCGCGAAUCAGCAUGUCGCGGUGAAUACGUUCCCGGGCCUU